rnacentral:misc_RNA from 1 species
GACCAUGUCAACCUGAGAAAGUAGUGUGUAAAUGAUAAACAUCAUCACUCAAUGUAAGACUGUCGACAAGAGAAACUGAAUGGGUCUUGAUCGUAAUAUCAUAUAUUACUGCUGAAUUCAAGAAUUCCAUAAUAUAAUAACUGCUGAGCUCAAGAAUUCCACCAUUUUGUAUCUAGAGUAGAGUUUUACGGAUCAGGAACUAUGUACUAUCUUAAUGAGAACCAUAAGUAACUCGAUAUACCUAUCUGAUGAUUUCUUACGCUGUGGCUCAAGCCAAUUUGUUGAGCCAAAAAAAAAAGCAUUUCACAGAUGUGGCAUUAGUAUCAAACAAAAGUUUCAAUAUGGCGCAAAAUGAUCUAUAGAUGGAUGAAAGUUCUAAAAGAUUAAUUUCAACCCUUCACAUCAUCAAAGGUUUUCAAUAUUCUGUCAUUAUUUCUCUCAACUUUCUCAAUAUGGAAAAUAAUUUGAUUAAUAUUUUCUUGUAUCUUUUAAAUUUUAGUUGUUACUUAAGAGCGGACAAUGAAUGGUAAGCUAAUAAGAGUAGAGUCAGCAGAAAGCAGAUGAGAGAAAAAAAAACCAUGAACACUUCAUGCACCAAUUUCAUCCUUCAGUAGCAUGCAAAAGCUUAGAAAGCUAUACACCAAGACAUAUCAUCCCUAAUACAGAGCACGUACAAAUGUAUUAAGCAGUGGUCAAAUGUUAAACAAGGCUUGGCCAAGAAUUCAACUUUCAUUCCACAUCACUUAACAGCCCUUCACACAAGUCAUGGCCACAGUAAAGCAUAUUUAACAGUACAAAAAAAGGGUAAAUUACUUUUUCUUCUUUGCAUUAUGCCAAAAUUAACAAAUAUGUCCCCCAAUUUUAAAAAAUCAAUGAUUUAGUCUCCAUACUUUGAUUCCAUCAAACUAAAGGUCCCUUCGUCUAAUUUUCCAUUAUUUGUCUAAGAAAUGACCAAAAUACCCUUAAAAAUAAUUACUUUUUUUCAUCCUUGGAUUAUGUCAAAAUUAACACGUACGUCCUCUCACUUUUCAAAAAGUCAAUGGUUUAGUCCUUGUAUUUUGACUCCGUCAAACUCCGUCAAACUGAAAAGAAAUUACACUCUUUUCAAAUAUGGAUGAAGGGACUUUUCAAUUUGAUGAAGUCAAAAUACAGGGACUAAAACAUUUAUUUUGAAACUGAGGGACAAAAUUGUUAAUUUUGACAUAAUCCAGGGAUGAAAAAGUAUUUUACUCUAAAAAAUUUGCGCAGCAAGGCCCAGACAGCAAAAGGUGCAUAACAUCAGGCAUGAAUUUUCUGGGAAUGAUUUUUUGCAGAGAGCAAGUAAAUAUAAGACAGUAAGACACAAUGUUGUAGAACCUAGGUUCUCACACCCAAAUCCUAGGUUCUCACACCCAAAUACUUAAUUUUAAUUCCAAAUCUAAAUAUGCCACUAAAGUUUGUACCUUAUAUAGAAAAAUUAAAAAUAGGAAAUUGUUAAAUAGCUUCCUAAAAGCCCUAUAAAAAAUAUAAACUUACUUAUUAAAUUUCCUACUAAAAGAAGAAUAAUAAUUAUUAAGAUGCCCUUCUUUUAAGAAGGGUUCAUAUCACGUUUAGAACUUGGGCUAUGCCUAAAGGGAGGAACACACACUGUAGCACAUAACAUUGUCUGUCCUCGUUUUCAGGAAGCACAGGUAUGUUACUUUAAAUAUUUUCCUAAAAUAUCUUGUAUGACUUUUACACUGAAUUACCUCUGCUAAAUGGUAGAAUAAUU